CUUCAAUCAAAAUGUGGGUGUUUGAUGGAGAGUUGCGGUUAGUGAGAGUUUGGAGACAGUUUGGAGGUUUAUGAGAGUGAGGAGAGAAAGUCAGGAGAGAAUGGAGCCAGCUAAGAAGAGGAGGAUGUCCUCUCCUGUGUGGGAACAUUUUGAUCUUAUUCCUCCCAACAAGGUGAAGUGUUUGCUAUGUGCCAGGGAGCUGGGAUAUAACAACAACACCUCAUCCAUGCUUAGGCACUGCAGAGCUUUGCAUGAGAAUAAGGGGAACACCGAUUGUGGAGCAAGACCAGGAGAACAAUCUCAAAUAGAUGAAGACCUGGUUAGCAUGGUGAUUGAGGACUCCCAGCCAUUUAGCAUUGUGGAGGACAAAGGAUUCAAAAGAUUUGUGAAAUCAUUAAAUCCUAGCUAUGUUCUCCCCACUAAAAAGGACGUAAAAGCAGUGAAAAUUUAGUUUUUACAGAAUAAAAUGUGAACAGGCAGGACUGAACCUCAAAGCCUCAGUGUGUAGCUGUCCAUACCUCAACGUUACAAAAGCACAACCACUGUCCACACCCCAACCACACCUCACCUCACAGUAAAUGAUCAUUUCCAUUUCAAGCAUUUCCAAAUAAUCAUUUUCCAUACUGCCACUAUAAAUAUACACAGUAUACUGCAUCACUACAAUAUACAUGUUUUACACACUCCUUUUGUUGUUGACAUUUACAGGCUGUGUGCAAAAUGCCACACUCUUCAAAUUCAUGCCAGCUAUUAUUUUUACGUCCAGUAGGUGUCCUGCUAGAGCAAAUGAAGCUUCAUGAAGCUUCGCGUUGGGGUGAACCAAUUGGAUGAAAAGCUUCAGUGCUUCAUGGGGCUUCAUCUGCCCAUCACUAGUCAUAACUGCUUCAAGCACUGUCUAUAUCAGGGGUAGGCAACGCCAGGCCUCGAGGGCCGGUGUCCUGCAGGUUUUAGAUCUCACCCUGGGUCAACACACCUGAAUCAAAUGAUUAGUUCAUUACCAUCCCCCUGGAGAACUUCAAGACAUGUUGAGGAGGUAAUUUAGCCAUUUGAAUCAGCUGUGUUGGUUCAAGGACACAUCUAAAACCUGCAGGACACCAGC
ensembl:lncRNA